CGCGUAGGUAACCUGCCUGGUAGCGGGGGAUAACUAUUGGAAACGAUAGCUAAUACCGCAUAACAGUAGGUAUCGCAUGAUAGCUGCUUAAAAGGUGCAACUGCACCACUACCAGAUGGACCUGCGUUGUAUUAGCUAGUUGGUGGGGUAACGGCUCACCAAGGCGACGAUACAUAGCCGACCUGAGAGGGUGAUCGGCCACACUGGGACUGAGACACGGCCCAG
rnacentral:rRNA from 1 species